rnacentral:rRNA from 1 species
UACGUAGGGUGCAAGCGUUAAUCGGAAUUACUGGGCGUAAAGCGUGCGCAGGCGGUUGUGCAAGACAGAUGUGAAAUCUCCGGGCUCAACCUGGGAACUGCAUUUGUGACUGCACGGCUGGAGUGCGGCAGAGGGGGAUGGAAUUCCGCGUGUAGCAGUGAAAUGCGUAGAUAUGCGGAGGAACACCGAUGGCGAAGGCAAUCCCCUGGGCCUGCACUGACGCUCAUGCACGAAAGCGUGGGGAGCAAACAGG